CAGCAGCCGCGGUAAUACGUAGGGUGCAAGCGUUAAUCGGAAUUACUGGGCGUAAAGCGUGCGCAGGCGGUCCGCUAAGACAGAUGUGAAAUCCCCGGGCUUAACCUGGGAACUGCAUUUGUGACUGGCGGGCUAGAGUAUGGCAGAGGGGGGUAGAAUUCCACGUGUAGCAGUGAAAUGCGUAGAGAUGUGGAGGAACACCGAUGGCGAAGGCAGCCCCCUGGGCCAAUACUGACGCUCAUGCACGAAAGCGUGGGGAGUAAACAGGAUUAGAUACCCGCGUAGUCCCUGUCUCUUAUAC
rnacentral:rRNA from 1 species